CACCGCCCGUCACACCAUGGGAGUUGGUUCUGCCUUAAGCCGUAUCGCUAACCGCAAGGAUGCAUACGACCACGGCAGGGUCAGUGACUGGGGUG
rnacentral:rRNA from 1 species